rnacentral:sRNA from 1 species
UAUUGAAAAUUUCACUCAGGAAGCAUAUAUCGAUGUUAAGUUUUCUUAAAUGGAAGUCCAGAGAGUUUUUGUUUUUUUUUUAAGACUUUGUAUAUUGUAUUGUAAGAUGUUCAUGGAUAAUUAAAAAAAUUAUUAUUAUUUAUUUGCAGUUAUUUCAGAAUAAUCACACUUUAUCUUUUUCAGGAUGUUACUAAUUGGCUUUCUUCAUUGGCUUCUGAUGUAUAUGGGCUUUGGUUGUUUGCUGAUGCUGGAAUGACUAUUUGUUGAAAUUUCUUUAAAACAUCAAGACCUUCUGUGCAGUUAAGAGACAAAAAUUUUGAUGAUCAAAUACUGCUUUGGUUGGAUUUACAUGGAUUGGGCUUGCAAUGGCAUGUUGAUUUUUCGUUAUUGGAGCCGCAACUUUGCUAUAUUUAAUACUUGUAAUUUUUUUGUUGACUGCAUCAUGUAUAUUAAUUUUUGGAGUCCUGUUUGUUAAGAGAGGCGGGAACUCAUUAUUAAAAUCACGUUCAGAAAGAA